UAUGUUUUAGUAUAUGAUGUAUUGGGGUUUUUGAUGCUUCAGGGGGUAGUUUGAUUCUACCAAACGUAAC
rnacentral:tRNA from 1 species